UUCUUUUUUAUUUUAUAUUUUAUAUAUUAAAUUGUCAUAUCAUUGGUUGGGAUUGAUACUAUGUGAGAAGCUAAAACCAGGCUUGAUAAAAAACAAUAAGCUUAAGUAAGGGGUCUUUGAUGACGAUUCUACCUAGAGUAGAUCAAUUUAAAAGAUUUGUCAUGAGAAGACUAACACUUCUUUAUGAUGGUACUUUGAAUUUGAUCCAUGACUCUAGGGACCUCUUUUAGAAUAUCCUCAAAUCGGGGUGACCUUAUG
rnacentral:lncRNA from 1 species